UAAGGUGAUAACAUAGAGUAGC
rnacentral:piRNA from 1 species